CGUACACCAAGGCGACGAUCGGUAGCUGGUCUGAGAGGAUGAUCAGCCACACUGGGACUGAGACACGGCCCAGACUCCUACGGGAGGCAGCAGUGGGGAAUUUUGGACAAUGGGGGAAACCCUGAUCCAGCCAUGCCGCGUGAGUGAAGAAGGCCUUCGGGUUGUAAAGCUCUUUCGGACGGAACGAAAUUGCUUGGACUAAUACUCUGAGUAGAUGACGGUACCGUAAGAAGAAGCACCGGCUAACUACGUGCCAGCAGCCGCGGUAAUACGUAGGGUGCGAGCGUUAAUCGGAAUUACUGGGCGUAAAGCGUGCGCAGGCGGUUGCCUAAGCCAGGCGUGAAAUCCCCGGGCUUAACCUGGGAAUGGCGCUUGGGACUGGGCAGCUAGAGUGCGGCAGAGGGAGGUGGAAUUCCACGUGUAGCAGUGAAAUGCGUAGAUAUGUGGAGGAACACCAAUGGCGAAGGCAGCCUCCUGGGCCGGCACUGACGCUCAUGCACGAAAGCGUGGGGAGC
rnacentral:rRNA from 1 species